rnacentral:rRNA from 1 species
CGGCAAGAGCUCAAAUUUGAAAUCUGGCCUUUACAGGUCCGAGUUGUAAUUUGUAGAGGAUGUUUCGGGUACCGCCAAGGGGUAAAUUUCUUGGAACAGAAUGCCAUAGAGGGUGAGAGUCCCGUCUGUAACCGCGGUAGGGCCCAUGUGAAACUCCUUCGAC